UACAGAGGUCUCAAGCGUUGUUCGGAUUCAUUGGGCGUAAAGGGUGCGUAGGUGGCGCUGUAAGUCAGAUGUGAAAUUUCGGAGCUUAACUCCGAAACUGCAUUUGAUACUGCGGUGCUUGAGGACUGGAGAGGAGAUUGGAAUUCACGGUGUAGCAGUGAAAUGCGUAGAUAUCGUGAGGAAGACCAGUGGCGAAGGCGGAUCU
rnacentral:rRNA from 1 species